AUUCCUUUCUUGUACUCUCAUAAAAGUGAGGCCACUUUGCCAGGAUAUUUUGUGUCUGUAUGAAAACUACUAUGAUAGUGGAAGAUAGACUUCGUUAAGGGUACUGUCUAUAAAACCUUGAAUAUAAACCAUCAAAGAUACCAGCAGUGUUGUGAAAGGCGCGCGCCUAAGUGCAAGGCGCAGCGAGGCACAGGUGCGGUGCCUGAAGCAACCCAAGGCGAGGUGAGUUGAAGAAGGCGCGCACCUUUUGUGCGACUCAGCUAGGCCUCAAUCACAGAGGAUUAAACCUUUGAGCUAUACUUCUCAAUAGCCAGCCCCAAAUCGAUUUGAAAUGCCCAAAUCAAUUCGAAAGAAAGAAGAAAUCUUGCGGUGUCUCUUCUCUUCCCUUCGGCUUGUCUAGUCUUGUCUCUGGCCCAGGUGAGUUCUUCUUUUGCUUCUUCUUCUUCUCCUUCUUCGCUGUGUUCUUCUUCUUCGAUUUUUUUUUGCGAAGAAACCUGACGGUGUCGGAGUGUCUCUUCCCUCCGGCUUGUCUCGUCUUCUCUGGACCAGGUAGUUCUUCUUCUUCGAUGCUUUCUUCUUCUUCUCAUUCUCUUCUUCUUCUUCUCAUUCUCUUCUUCUUCUUCGCUGCCUCUAUUUUUUUUUCCAUCUGUCUCAAUUUUUUUUAUUUUUUUUCUGUUGCUUAUUCGAUGUGCUGGGCUGGGCUAUUCUUCUUCUUAUAAUCAAAUAGAGACAAUUGAUUUUCUUUUUUAGUUGAGAAUGUCAUCAGGUGUGACAUCAUCUUGCACUUGGAAUUUUUAAUUUAAUGAUAUGACAGCACUUUGUUUGCCACUUAACUUUCAAUUUGGAAACACUGAUUAGCUACAUAAAUUUAGUUAUAGUUUCACUUACAAAAAAGCUUCAAAUGAACAUCAACUUACCGAAAAAAAAAAAAAAAAUUUUAAAAUUCCUUGAGCAUUAUUUGUUUGAGUAUUACUUCAUUUCCAAUUUUUGUUUUUUAUAGUUAUAGUUUCAGUGUUUCACUUGCAAAAAGCUUCAUAUAUAUAUAUAUAUAUAUAUAUAUUUUUGUUGGAUGUGGAUUGUUUUACCUUUGAAAAUUGGAAUGCUAUGUAAUAUGCACUUUUAUGGCUUUGAAAAUUAUUCUAUAAUUUGUUUUAGUUACUUUAAAAAAAAAAUGGUACGAGUCAUUAGUCUAUGUUAAUUUAUCUAUUUUUAACUGAGACUGCACAUUCAUAAGAAAAUUCCUUUUGAUUUGAUUUUAAACUUGCUGGAGCAAAUGCAGUCUACUAUUGGUGUGAGUAUAGGAAUAAAUUAUUAGUAUCACUUUGUCUCUAAAUGUUAGCAAUUGUUUUCUUGAAGUUACUGUGGAUGUCUCUAGUAAUUACCUUGUUGAUAAUUUUACAAUCCGGUCCAAGGGACACAAGCUGUAGGAAAUUAUUGGUAAUAGUUUCAUUAUGCUUUUCCAUGAGCCUGACAAUUACUUUGUGGUCCAAUUUAAGAGAAAGCUGUUGAUCUGGUAAAAUCGGUUUCAAUACUCUUGAUCAUUUGGUGUGAUUAUACACAUGUAAGGAGAUAGAAAGCACAAAUGAGUAGGCUUGUGAAGAACAUGAAACCACUUGACGAGGACCCUUGCUAUGAUUUUGAGUUGAUUACAUCCUUUUCAUUUUUAUACAAGUAGUGGUAGGUAGGUUUAAGGUAGCAUUACUUCUAUUUCACGUAAACAUAAAUUUGACUCUAUUUUGCAUCUACCAAUGACUUUGCUCUUUGUGCCAGUGGACAUCUUUAUUAGAUUCGUAAUGUUUUUUCUCAGAAGAUUUUUCAUUUAACUUGUUGAAGUAAAUAUUUGUUAGGCCUUUUGUAGUUGGCAAUCUUGUUGGACAAAACUCCAUUCAAUUGUAAUCGCAUUUGUUAUUUUGCUUUUGUGAGAUUGAGAAUGUUUUAGACGUAAAUCCAGCCCAAUUUGUGCUCGAACAGAGAUAUUUGUGCUUCUAGAGAAGAAAUGUGCACUCAAGCACAUAAAGUUACGCUCGAGCAGUCUGAGUCGAUUACAGUCACUUGAAAGUGCGUUUUUUAAUCAGAUCUAACACUCUGUUUGUUUGGGCGAAAAACAUUUUUUGGAAAAAAAAUUUCUGUAUUUUCUAGUGUUUGGUACACUGUAAAACGAAAGUCAACAAAAAACAUUUUUCAUAGUCAAUAAAAAACAAGCCUAUAUAGGCAGAGAAUGUUUUCCACUUUUAAAAGGCGGAAAACGUUUUCUAGACUAAAGUCUUACCAAUAUCACCACACUACCACCGCGAGUCUCAUCUCUACUACAACACCACCAUCACCAUGGCCACUAUCACCAUCACUAUCGCUAUAACCACCGCCACUGCCACCCCACUACCGCCUGCACCUCCACCUCCACCUCCACCUCCACCUUCGUUUCACUACGACCACCACCAAACAUUGAAAAAUGUUUUCCAUUUGAAAAUGUUUUCCGCCUAAACAAACGGAGCGUGAGGUGAAACUCUCAUGAUAUUCAUCC